rnacentral:rRNA from 1 species
AAUAAAUGUAUAAAUAAUAUAGAAGGAAUUAAAUGAUAUAUCAUUAAAUUAAAAAGAUUUGGCAGUAUUUAAAAUUUAGAGGAACCUGUGUAGUAAUUGAUAAUCCACGAUAAGAAAUACUUAAUGUAAAGUUUAUGUAUUGCUGUUUUAAAUAUUUAAUUAAGUUAGAUAUAAUAAAAUUUAUAAAAUUUAAUAGAAUAAAAUAAUUCAAGUCAAAAUAUAGCUUAAUUAAGAUUAAUAUGGGUUACAAUUAAUUUAAUUAUUGGAUAAAAAAAUUUAAGUUUUUUUGAAAAUUGGAUUUAAAAGUAAAUUUAAU